GUUGGGAAUAUUGGACAAUGGGCGAAAGCCUGAUCCAGCCAUGCCGCGUGUGUGAAGAAGGUCUUCGGAUUGUAAAGCACUUUAAGUUGGGAGGAAGGGCAGUAAGUUAAUACCUUGCUGUUUUGACGUUACCGACAGAAUAAGCACCGGCUAACUUCGUGCCAGCAGCCGCGGUAAUACGAAGGGUGCAAGCGUUAAUCGGAAUUACUGGGCGUAAAGCGCGCGUAGGUGGUUUUGUAAGUUGGAGGUGAAAUCCCCGGGCUCAACCUGGGAACUGCCUCCAAAACUGCAUGACUAGAGUACGGUAGAGGGUAGUGGAAUUUCCUGUGUAGCGGUGAAAUGCGUAGAUAUAGGAAGGAACACCAGUGGCGAAGGCGACUACCUGGACUGAUACUGACACUGAGGUGCGAAAGCGUGGGGAGCAAACAGGAUUAGAAACCCGAGUAGUCC
rnacentral:rRNA from 1 species